rnacentral:rRNA from 1 species
CAAACAUGCUUGUGCAUGUAGGUGGGAAGGUUGAAGCUCCCGGUGGCCACCAGCACAACACCACCCCGCCUUCCCCCGUCUAUGCGGUCAUCCAGUUGAAUAAGGGAACGUAUGGUGGACUAGGAUGACUCUGAAUAACGCAAGUGAAGAAAUCCAAGAUCAGGUUCUUUUCUUUCUGCUUACAGAUUUGGAUCCGUGGACAACUUCUCUAUGGGGACGAGAACUUCCACCUCCUCCAAGGCCAUGGCCACGGCCGUCCUCUUCAAACUCCCAGCUGAGCAAGAAGCCGGCACAAAAUCUUCGCUUCUCUCUUCCUGGGGUCGGCGUGCGCCCCCCGCCUGAGAGGUCGGUAGUCCGGCGUGUGCGGUAAGGGGCCGGCGUCGCCGGCGAGCAUGCCAAGCUCGACCGCCUCCUCGAGCACUUCGACGGCCGAAUUUGAAGGAGGAGUGAGGUGGAGCAGGGGCAUGCACGUCCGCCGGCGUGGGUGACGAAGGGGAGGGGCGGCCUUACAGGGAGCGCCGGCUAUGGAGGGAGGGAUCUGGCGACCAUGGAAGAUUAGGGAAGGGAGGAGAAAAGACAGGG